rnacentral:rRNA from 1 species
UACGUAGGGUGCGAGCGUUGUCCGGAAUUAUUGGGCGUAAAGGGCUCGUAGGCGGUUUGUCGCGUCGGGAGUGAAAACUCAGGGCUUAACCCUGAGCCUGCUUCCGAUACGGGCAGACUAGAGGUAUGCAGGGGAGAACAGAAUUCCUGGUGUAGCGGUGAAAUGCGCAGAUAUCAGGAGGAACACCGGUGGCGAAGGCGGGUCUCUGGGCCGAUACUGACGCUGGAGGAGCGAAAGCGUGGGGAGCGAACAGG